GUAAUUUUGCCGAGCUAAAAGCACCAGUUGAUCCAAAGGAUUGUCUGCGAGUAAAAGAAGGAGAUAGAAAAUGUAUCAAUAAUCAGUAAAGAUUAUCGGCUCAGUUAAGCGAAAUAUUCGCGAAUUUAUUGCAAUACGCUGUUGUUGUUGUGGUAGCAGUUUUGCGGCGGGUGUUAAGUCCUUGCCCAUGUAUAUCCGAAACAAAACGUGUAAAAAAACUUUGUCAUCGUCAGGUGACGAGAAAAAUGUCCAGCUUGAACAAUGCAUACAACAAACUGUAGCAAACACUAGAGAAUAAAAUGUUUCAUUUAUUAUAUAAAUCCAA